AGCUCUUUUUACGGAGAGUGUUUCUCCUCUCAUAAUUUGGCAGAGUCAGCUAAAUUUAAGCUGUUGGGCUCAUGCCCCGAAAAUGGUAUAAUUGUAUAUCCUCUGCUAGUAAAUUUAAGGUUAUGGAUUUGGUUUUGGUUCUGUGUCUUGGCUUUAGUUACAGAAAACACAUGGUACUUUAUGGGUUCCGGUGAGUAAGGAAUGUUAAAUUAAAUCAAAGUUUAAUAUUUUGUUUUAUUUUACGUUUUAGGGCAUAAUUGUAUUUAUAUGACGCUUAUUUUUAUUCACUUUGUACACCAGUGUUGGAGGUUGAACAAUAAACUUUGGUUUGAUUCAGUGAGUUGCUAUUGAGGUCUGGUAAAGUUUGUGCCAGCAACUGCGGUUAGACAAACAGACCUAGUCAAGAUUUUUGCAGCAUAAAGUAGGGUUAGGGGUACAUAGUUUAACUGUUAGAGGAUUUAAGAUGGUUUGAGGGGUGCAAUCCUAAGAAUCGUGUAUUUAUCUGGUAUUCUCUUGUUACCUGAUGCCCUGAAACUCCAAUUAAAAACCGGGAUUUGGUAUCCCGUUAUUCGGAGUGUAAACUUUGGUUUGUAAUCUGCUGGGGUACUACGAGCGCUAAGGUUUUUAGCUAGGCUUAAAACUCAAAAAACUUGGCGGUGUUUCAUAUCCUCCCAGGGGAACCUGUCUCGUAAACGAUGAUCCACGAUUUAUCUUACCUUGUUUUGAAAUGCUUAUUGAAAGCAGGACAGCUUGUAUACCGUCGCCGAUAGAUUACCCUUGAGGGGUUAAAAGUGGUCGGGAAGAGAAGUUGAGGUUGGGCGAUACAGUGGCCACUUAGUGGCUGUUGUGGUAGUUCAUGUUAGGUUGUAAAGCUUACGGGCUUUGUAAUGUUAUGUUUCUCAGGAUGUCAGAUCAAGGUGCAGCAUAUGAUUAGGUGAUGAUGGGUUACAAUAAUUUAUUUAUUAUACGGAUUUUCUACUGGAAUGUAGAAUUUAAAGGCGGACUUGGAUGUAAUGUUGAAUUAGGAAGUUAUAGUGAACUAGGUUUUGAAAUGUGUACAAAUCGCCCGUCGCUCUCGUUGAAAAAUGAGAUAAGUCGUAACAUAGUAGGGGUACCGGAAGGUGCCCCUGGAAUAUUGGUUAUUUUGGGGUAUAGUAUAAAUAUUACGUUUCGCUUACACUGAAAAUAUAGCUCGCGGGGGCUUGCCCUGAUAGUUAAUUAGUUGCUUAUCUUGUGCGUUGUGUGUGCAAUUGUGUGGUGUUUUCGCAUUUAAUGGUUUAUUUUUGGACAUGGCAAAUUUUUUAUAGUGGUAAGUACUGAAGAAGGAAAACUUAAAUUUUAAGCUAGAGUGAAGAAGUACCGUGAGGGAAAAUUGUUUGUGUGAAGCUUUUUUUUAGUAGGGGUUAAGCUCUGUACCUUUUGCAUCAUGGUUUUUUAAGAGGUUUUUUAGAUAAAGUUGGCCCGAAAGAAAACGAGCUAUUUUUUAGCUUGCGUCAUCGUUGUAAAGAUGUGCUCAGACUUAAAAAUAGGAGUGAUAUUCUUUUCGCGUUUUUUGAUAGCUGGUUGGUCGGGAAAGGCAUUAGAGUGCUGGCUUGAUUUAUGAUUUUUGCCUUGGGAUGAAUUUUAUGGAAGUUUUCUGGCAAGGAUUUGAAAAUCAAGUCUUGUGUAAGAAAGGAUUAGCUUUCUCAUGUUGUUAAAAAGUGCAUGGUUAGUAGUGUUGGAGGCGGUUUAGUAGGCUUGGAAUCGGCCAUCUUUUAAGUUUGUUUUAAAAUAUCUGUUUUUGUAACUAAAAAUUAAUAUGUGUAUUUUUAAUUAAAUUGUUUUAGUACCGACUUUACUAAUGUAACUAAGUUUAUUUGUGUAAUAAUGAGAAAAUGAGUAUUUAUUUUUAUUUAGUUGCUUUUGUUUAUUAAAGUAAGUAAGCUACGACUUGAUUUAGUGUGUUUAGUGUAAAAAAUUAAAUUCCAGAAAAGGAACUCGGCAAAUGUCGGCCUCGCCUGUUUAGCAAAAACAUGGCUCUUCGGUUAUUAAUUAAAUGAGGAGUCGGACCUGCCCGGUGACCUACGGGUUAAACGGCCGCGGUACACUGACCGUGCAAAGGUAGCACAAUCACUUGCCCUUUAAUUAGAGGCUGGUAUGAAUGGUUUGACGAGGGUUGAGCUGUCUCUUUUGGAAUAUUUAAAAAUUAACUUCUAGGUGAAAAGGCCUAGAUUGAGCUGAGGGACGAGAAGACCCUGUUGAGCUUUAGUGUUGGGUAGAGAGUGGCAUUUCUAUUAUUAAUAGAAAGUUUAGAUUUACUUUUACAUCUUUAGUUGGGGUGACUAGGGAACAUGGAUAGCUUCUCUGUUGUUUGUUUAACUUAAUUUGGUGGACUGACUGGUGAUCCAGCAUUGUUGAUUAUCGGAAAAAGUUACCACAGGGAUAACAGCGUAAUCUUUCUGGAGAGUUCACAUUGAAAGAAGGGUUUGCGACCUCGAUGUUGGAUUAAGGUGUCCUGAGGGUGUAGCAGCUUUCGUUGGUUGGUCUGUUCGACCAUUAAAACCUUACAUGAUCUGAGUUCAGACCGGCGUGAGCCAGGUUGGUUUCUAUCUUCAGUUUUUAUAGUUCUUUGACUAGUACGAAAGGACCGUUUUAAGACAAAUAUUUAGUUUGUGGUGGCUGAAUUUAUCUAAGCUUUAUGAUGAAAGUGUGUUUGAUUUUGUUGAGUUGGCAGAUUUAUGUGACUGAUUUAGGCUCAGUAGAAAAAGGUGUAAUUCCUUUACUUAAUAUUUAUAAUAUGGAAUAAAUAAUUUGUAGUUUUGUCGUUGGAAAUGUUUGUUAUAAACACUUUUAAAUUAGUAAA
rnacentral:rRNA from 1 species